UACGUAGGCAGCGAGCGUUGUUCGGAGUUACUGGGCGUAAAGGGUGUGUAGGCGGUUGUUUAAGUUUGGUGUGAAAUCUCCCGGCUCAACUGGGAGGGUGCGCCGAAUACUGAAUGACUUCGAGUGCGGGAGAGGAGAGUGGAAUUCCUGGUGUAGCGGUGAAAUGCGCAGAUAUCAGGAGGAACACCGGUGGCGAAGGCGGGUCUCUGGGCCGAUAUUGACGCUGAGGAGCGAAAGCGUGGGGAGCAAACAGG
rnacentral:rRNA from 1 species